GGGUUGUGAGGUUAAGCGACUAAGCGUACACGGUGGAUGCCCUGGCAGUCAGAGGCGAUGAAGGACGUGCUAAUCUGCGAUAAGCGUCGGUGAGGUGAUAUGAACCGUUAUAACCGGCGAUUUCCGAAUGGGGAAACCCAGUGUGUUUCGACACACUAUCAUUAACUGAAUCCAUAGGUUAAUGAGGCGAACCGGGGGAACUGAAACAUCUAAGUACCCCGAGGAAAAGAAAUCAACCGAGAUUCCCCCAGUAGCGGCGAGCGAACGGGGAGGAGCCCAGAGCCUGAAUCAGUGUGUGUGUUAGUGGAAGCGUCUGGAAAGGCGCGCGAUACAGGGUGACAGCCCCGUACACAAAAAUGCACAUAUUGUGAGCUCGAUGAGUAGGGCGGGACACGUGGUAUCCUGUCUGAAUAUGGGGGGACCAUCCUCCAAGGCUAAAUACUCCUGACUGACCGAUAGUGAACCAGUACCGUGAGGGAAAGGCGAAAAGAACCCCGGCGAGGGGAGUGAAAAAGAACCUGAAACCGUGUACGUACAAGCAGUGGGAGCCUCUUAAUGGGGUGACUGCGUACCUUUUGUAUAAUGGGUCAGCGACUUAUAUUCUGUAGCAAGGUUAACCGAAUAGGGGAGCCGAAGGGAAACCGAGUCUUAACUGGGCGUUAAGUUGCAGGGUAUAGACCCGAAACCCGGUGAUCUAGCCAUGGGCAGGUUGAAGGUUGGGUAACACUAACUGGAGGACCGAACCGACUAAUGUUGAAAAAUUAGCGGAUGACUUGUGGCUGGGGGUGAAAGGCCAAUCAAACCGGGAGAUAGCUGGUUCUCCCCGAAAGCUAUUUAGGUAGCGCCUCGUGAAUUCAUCUCCGGGGGUAGAGCACUGUUUCGGCAAGGGGGUCAUCCCGACUUACCAACCCGAUGCAAACUGCGAAUACCGGAGAAUGUUAUCACGGGAGACACACGGCGGGUGCUAACGUCCGUCGUGAAGAGGGAAACAACCCAGACCGCCAGCUAAGGUCCCAAAGUCAUGGUUAAGUGGGAAACGAUGUGGGAAGGCCCAGACAGCCAGGAUGUUGGCUUAGAAGCAGCCAUCAUUUAAAGAAAGCGUAAUAGCUCACUGGUCGAGUCGGCCUGCGCGGAAGAUGUAACGGGGCUAAACCAUGCACCGAAGCUGCGGCAGCGACACUAUGUGUUGUUGGGUAGGGGAGCGUUCUGUAAGCCUGUGAAGGUGGCCUGUGAGGGUUGCUGGAGGUAUCAGAAGUGCGAAUGCUGACAUAAGUAACGAUAAAGCGGGUGAAAAGCCCGCUCGCCGGAAGACCAAGGGUUCCUGUCCAACGUUAAUCGGGGCAGGGUGAGUCGACCCCUAAGGCGAGGCCGAAAGGCGUAGUCGAUGGGAAACAGGUUAAUAUUCCUGUACUUGGUGUUACUGCGAAGGGGGGACGGAGAAGGCUAUGUUGGCCGGGCGACGGUUGUCCCGGUUUAAGCGUGUAGGCUGGUUUUCCAGGCAAAUCCGGAAAACCAAGGCUGAGGCGUGAUGA
rnacentral:rRNA from 1 species